rnacentral:SRP_RNA from 1 species
GCCAGGCAUGGUGGUGCAUGCCUGUAAUCCCAGCUACUCGGGAGGCUGAGGCAGGAGAAUCGCUUGAACCCAGGAGGCGGAGGUUGCAGUGAGCUGAGAUCGUGCCACUGCACUCCAGCCUGGGUGACAGAGCAAGACUCUGUCUAAA